CAAUCAGGAAAAAAAUUCCUCUUUCUGAUGACAGACAGCUCAGUGCUCUGUCACUGUAGUUCAGCUGGAAAAGGCAGAAAUGGGGGAUGCUGAGGAGCAGCUCACUUCUCCUUGCGGCUCCUGGAUGGCUCUGUGACCAGUGCUGCUGUGCUCUGCACAGCCACGCGCCAGGGCCCCCUCGCCAGCUCCCUGAUGUGGGUCUCCAUAGCCACAGCACAGACAGAAGCCUCCCUCACGCUGUUGUGGAAAAGCAUUGAGAGGCAGAAGCAGAGGGAGGUGAAUGAUUCUGUUACUUUGCAGGCACCUCAGAGCUGGCAGGUCCCAGAACUGUGAGAAUCUAUGCAGCGAUGUGUCAGGCUUACCUGGACCAACCUCUGCUGGAACAAGCUGCCAGCAGGAGCUUUGGGCACGGGAGCAUAGAGAUUAUCUUGGCCCUUGCUCUGCCCUGGAGUCACCUCUCAGAAUUUCCAAUGACAGUGUCUUCUAAAGGACCUAAUUCUUCUUAAACCUUGUGUAAUUCAACAUCAAAGUUCAUAUCCAGCUGCGCUCACUAUUGCUUUUUUUCCUUCUUACAUCCAAAUCCGUCGCUAACUGCAUUUUCAACUUUUUCAAGUUCUUGGGUCUUUUGAAGUUCCACUAUGCCUGUGUUUCCCACAGUCUAUUCCCCAACCUGCUUUGCACUGUUAUCAAGGACUGAGAGAUCCUUUGUCCCAAAACCUCAAAGGAAUAUUUCAGUUCUUUCUUUAUCCAUUUCUGAGACAGCUCUGUCCCCUGGCCUGAGCACUUCUUAAUUUACUCUUAGCAUUCAAUCCAUUUUUCUAUAGGCACGUAAAAUUCACUCUUAACUUUCCUUAUUUCAAUCAACAUUCACACAGGGACAUUUGCAUGUGUCUCGAAUUAUCGUUUUAUUAAAACCCUUUGCUUCUUUACCAUUUCAAUUACCAUUCUGUGUAAUAUCAUUUGCAUUUGCAUGGUAACUUCACCUAUAAAAGACAAAAGUUUUAUUCCCUUUUAACAGAUGAGUAAAAUGGAAUCAGAGAGACUAGAAAGACAUCUUUGCAGCUCAGUACGUCUAUAUGUCUUCAACGUGUGAACUUAACAGCAUUGGAGGAAAAUACUGUAAACACAAAGAAUUGUCGUGUAAAUCAAAGUGUUAUAAAUCACAGAUCUGAAUGAUGGAACCUUGACUCGAAUAAUCACUUUUAAUCUUGGUUUGCAUACGCAAUUUUCAUUGUUAUUCUAAAAAUGUUUACUGGUGUGUAUAAUCAUUCAAAAUUGCAACUGCAUGUAGCCAUUUCUCCAGAUGGAUAUUUCUUGCUAUGUACUCUUCAUAUAUGUGUUUAUUUAAGCAGAAAGUUUAACGUAUAUUUAUUUAAAUUCUACAGUAGAAACCUUAACUUGCAUUAGAAAACAGUUCACUACAUGAUCAAUUUUAGCAGAUAAGAGGGUUUUUUUAUUUGUAUCAAGCUGAAUAUAUAAUUACAGUUGUCAAAUUGAGAUUUAAAAAUAUACUAUUAGUAACCCCCUUUUUUAAUGUACCAAAUAGCAUAAUUUAUUAAAACAUAUAUUAGCAUUAUGUUAGUACUAACUACCCAUAGUAAACUGGAAAUUUGUUUCCUGUUAUGAAAGAGGUUUUAGGACUCCAAAUCUGCAAUAGAGGCGUAAUGAAAUUUUCAAAACUACACCAGCAAUCGGGUGCCUGCGUCCAAAGAAAUCAAUGGACACAGAGUGACCUGUGGGCAGUCUUGAAAAUCCCCAGAGACAAGUGUUUGCAAAUGUGCUCAAAAACCUGUGCUAGGGACUUCCAAAUUUCUGUAACUAGUUGAGUUCCUCAUCACUUUUUGUGUUUAAUCAUGGAUUUUGAAAUACUAAAAUAGGCUGUUCUUUUCAAUUUAAAAUUCAUCUCAUUUCUAUGAAUGACUUAUUUGGAAAAGAAGUUAUAUUCUCUUUAUUUCUGCUGAACUGCAGCACAAAGUCAUUUGGCCAAAAGCUCUUCUGCAGCCCUGAAAACACCUACAGCUUUAAAAGUAAACAGAACCCAUCAUCUGCUCUGUUGUAAAGAUGGAUAUAGAAACUAUAUUUCAUCAGGUUAGAUUUCAUAGCUUCAUAUAUGUUGUUAAUAAAAUGAUUGAGCUACUGUAAAAAUGUAAAAAUGUUUCAGUGAUUCUGCACAUCAUUGAAAACGUAACAUUCUUCAACUCAUUAGAGUGGAUAGGGUACUUCUUAAACACGGUUUUGUUUAGCAGUAAAUUAUACUAAGAGUAAUCUUAGCACACGCUUGCUCUACACAUAAUUUUUGCAUUAAAUUUAAAUUGUUUUAAGAUGACUUUAUAUAUAUAUGUUUUUAAUGACUUCUUCUAAAAACUACUUUCAUAAUCUAUUCUUCUGUCAAGCUUGUAGCGCACCUCAGGAAACAUUUUAGACUUUCUCAGCCCCGGUUUUGGUACACAGUUGCCGAAACCCUCUUGAAGUCCCUGACAGCAGCACGCUCACCAUUUGACUCCUCAGCACUUUUCCGUGUGGGUGGUUCUGCUAUUGCUUAUUCUCUGACUGAGCUUUUAUUAAAAAAUUAUG